GUGCUCACUUCAGCAGCACAUAUACUAAUAUUAGAAUGAUGCAGAGUAAUUUAACAUGGCCUCUGCACAAGGGUGACAUGCAAAUUCAUGAAGCAUUCCAUAUUUUU